GAUGAAGAACGCAGCGAAAUGCGAUAAGUAGUGUGAAUUGCAGAAUUCAGUGAAUCAUCGAAUCUUUGAACGCACAUUGCGCCCGCCAGUAUUCUGGCGGGCAUGCCUGUUCGAGCGUCAUUUCAACCCUCAAGCCCCCGGGCUUGGUGUUGGGGAUCGGCGUGCCCUCGCGGCGCGCCGUCCCCUAAAUCUAGUGGCGGUCUCGCUGUAGCUUCCUCUGCGUAGUAGCAACACUCGCACUGGAUCGCAGCGCGGCCACGCCGUUAAACCCCCCACUUCUGAAAGUUUGACCUCGGAUCAGGUAGGAAUACCCGCUGAACUUAAGCAUAUCAAUAAGCGGAGGA
rnacentral:misc_RNA from 1 species